CCUAGGGUUCCGUUAAGCUGCACCCUAGGCUGUAAUAAUAUCGUGCUUUCAGCACU
rnacentral:sRNA from 1 species